GGACGUCGAACCCAGGUGGGAAGUGACCCUGGUGUUAGCUGUUUCUGGAGGCUGAACCUGAGAGUUUCAGGGAGGGGUGGGGGUGAGUCAGGCCAUGACCUGUAGAGGAUCAGAGCCCUUUCUUCGCUCCCCAGCCGGGCAGGUGGAUGAGCUGAAACUCGGAGGGUGAGAGGGCGGAUCAGGCCUGGGAAGCGGGGCAGGUCCCCGUGGAGCCUGGCAGAGCCCGCUGGUUCUUUGCCUGGGACCAGCUCUCUUGAGGGGUGGGGACAAUCCAUUUGAUGAAGUCCCUGUUCUGCGAGUGGAAACUGGUUCCCCUUCACUUGACAGGCCAGCUUUGGGGAUUUGGGCAGCAGGCUGGGGGGUUGACAUAACACUUCUUGCCCUUUCCCAGGAAGCUUGCUUAACUCUGCAGGUUCUUUGUUCAGUGGUGAAGAGAGAGAGAGGGAGCGAGCUCAAGCACGGGGAGCGGCAGGCAGAGGGAGAAGCGGACUCCCUGCUGAGCAGGGAGACUGUCUUGGGGGCUUGAUCCCAGGACCCUGGGAUCACGACCUGAGCUGAAAGCAGAUGCUUAACCGACUGAGCCACCCAGGCGCCCCUCUAUUUUUAUAAAUAAAAUAGUUACGGUUU